rnacentral:rRNA from 1 species
UACGUAGGGUGCAAGCGUUGUCCGGAAUUAUUGGGCGUAAAGAGCUCGUAGGCGGUUUGUCGCGUCUGCUGUGAAAACGCGAGGCUCAACCUCGCGCCUGCAGUGGGUACGGGGCAGACUAGAGUGUGGUAGGGGAGAUUGGAAUUCCUGGUGUAGCGGUGGAAUGCGCAGAUAUCAGGAGGAACACCGAUGGCGAAGGCAGAUCUCUGGGCCAUUACUGACGUGAGGAGCGAAAGCGUGGGGAGCGAACAGG